GAGGAAGUGGGAGCAACUGGGACCAUGCUGGGCACAACUGGGAUCAUAUUGGGAGCAACUGUGCCCACAGUGAAGGUGGCUGGGGUCAUACUGGGAGUGACUGGGAACAUUCUGAGGGCAGCUGGGACCAUGUUGGCGCAACUGGGAUAUACUGGGAGCAAGUGGGAUCAUGCUGGAGUAGAUCAGAAGAG